rnacentral:rRNA from 1 species
AUUGCCUUAGUAGCGGCGAGUGAAGCGGCAAAAGCUCAAAUUUGAAAUCUGGCACCUUCGGUGUCCGAGUUGUAAUUUGAAGAUUGUAACCUUGGGGUUGGCUCUUGUCUAUGUUUCUUGGAACAGGACGUCACAGAGGGUGAGAAUCCCGUGCGAUGAGAUGCCCAAUCCUAUGUAAGGUGCUUUCGAAGAGUCGAGUUGUUUGGGAAUGCAGCUCUAAGUGGGUGGUAAAUUCCAUCUAAAGCUAAAUAUUGGCGAGAGACCGAUAGCGAACAAGUACAGUGAUGGAAAGAUGAAAAGAACUUUGAAAAGAGAGUGAAAAAGUACGUGAAAUUGUUGAAAGGGAAGGGUUUGAGAUCAGACUCGAUAUUUUGUGAGCCUUGCCUUCGUGGCGGGGUGACCCGCAGCUUAUCGGGCCAGCAUCGGUUUGGGCGGUAGGAUAAUGGCGUAGGAAUGUGACUUUGCUUCGGUGAAGUGUUAUAGCCUGCGUUGAUGCUGCCUGCCUAGACCGAGGACUGCGAUUUUAUCAAGGAUGCUGGCAUAAUGAUCCCAAACCGCCCGUCUU